rnacentral:rRNA from 1 species
AUUGAAACAACGGUUCCCGUACGAUCACCAAAGUUAAGUCCCGCCGAGCCUUGUCAGUACCUAGAUUGGUGACCGCUUGGUAAUACCAGGUGCUGUAAG